CCUUUCAUUCUGAGCCCCGUGAGAUGCGGGUGAAGAGAUUUCCAAGGCUGUGAGAGCCCCUCUGCCUCCCCAGCUCAGUCCCCACUUCCUCCGCAGACCCACUCCUUGCCAGUUGUGGUGAUCUCCAACAUCUGUCAGAUGCCAAAUGCCUGGGCGUCCAUCCUGUGGUACAACAUGCUGACCAACAAUCCCAAGAACGUAAACUUUUUUACCAAGCCCCCAAUUGGAACCUGGGAUCAAGUGGCCGAGGUCCUGAGCUGGCAGUUCUCCUCCACCACCAAGCGAGGACUGAGCAUCGAGCAGCUGACUACACUGGCAGAGAAACUCUUGGGACCUGGUGUGAAUUAUUCAGGGUGUCAGAUCACAUGGGCUAAAUUUUGCAAAGAAAACAUGGCUGGCAAGGGCUUCUCCUUCUGGGUCUGGCUGGACAAUAUCAUUGACCUUGUGAAAAAGUACAUCCUGGCCCUUUGGAACGAAGGGUACAUCAUGGGCUUUAUCAGUAAGGAGCGGGAGCGGGCCAUCUUGAGCACUAAGCCUCCAGGCACCUUCCUGCUAAGAU
rnacentral:sRNA from 1 species